GGACCUUUGCCUUCGCUCUGAAUUGGGUGGGUCCAUCAUGAGGGAGGCCUGUGGGUCUGACCCCUGACCCUGGGGUGGGUGUGAGUCAGAGGGGAAAACUGGGUAUGGUUUCGGCAAGCUGGUUAGUGCUAAGUAGGUUAUGUUCUAGUAGCUAUUAUCAGUCUAAGAUACUUUCAAACAUAAAAAUCAUGAUUCUAAGAGAAGAGAAAGGUGCUCAGAGAAAUCACAGAUUGUUCUGUGAGUCAGUGGCCCAGAACAGACAAAGUUCCAUUUGAUAUUUUCUACCUGAGUGACCUUGAUAUGAGCAGCCUUUAGUUUAUAUUUUUCAAGUCACUUAUGCUGGGUGACGAGUCCUGUGCCCUCUACUGUUAGCUGGGCUGGAAGACCACAGCUCAGGUGAAGGUGGUGCUUUUCCUUUGUUGGAAUUGCGUGGGGGGGGGGAUGUUGCAUUUCUGGAAGCAGAUAGAUGGGGUGGGAAAAGUAUUGGAUGUCAGAAAACAUGGGCAUGAAUUCCGCUCUAAAAACUACCAUGUGACCCUGGAAAUAUCAGUCUGCCUUCCCUUCCUCAUUUGAAAAGUAAUGAUAAAAAUUUACAACAUCCUCCUUCUGGUUUUAUUUAUUUAUUUUAUUUAUUUAUUUUUGCCUUUUUGCCUUUUUAGGGCCACACCUGUGUUCCCAGGCUGGGGGUCUAAUUGGAGCUGUAGCCGCCAGCCUUUGCCAGAGCCACAGCCAGGCCAGAUCCGAGCUGCAUCUGCGACCCAUACCACAGCUCACGGCAACGCCGGAUCCUUAACCUACUGAGCAAAGCAAGGAAUUGAACCCACAACCUCAUGGUUCCUAGUCGGAUUCGUUUCUGCUGUGCCACGACGGGAAGUCCUGGUUUUAUUUUUAUUUGGAGAAUAAAGUGUUACUGGCCAACAAAAUACUGCAUGUUAUAGCCAUUUGUUAGUAUCUGUUUCUAAAGAAUAAGGUCCAUGGAAACAUUUGUAUGCUCACACUCAAUAAAAUAAUUAAUAGCUGAACAUCAGAUAAAGAGAAUAUAACAACCUCUGAACAAAGAGCUUUAUGUUGGUUUAAGCGAAAAACCUAAAACCAAAAUGGCAACCUGAGGACACCAAGUCGGGUUUGCAGUGCUUCCCUAAAGUACUUGUUAGCUGGUCUGUGGGAGCUGCUUCUCUCACCUGUGUUACAGCUUUGGGUGGGGUUCAGAUGAAACAUGUAACUUGGUUCUGGAGCAGUAAGACAGACUCUCAAUUUGCCAGGGCCAGUGAAGGAAACCCCUGUAGUCUUGUCCAACAGAUUGCUGGAGUCCAACAGCAGUAAAACUUGUGGCACAUGAGCUUGGGCUCAAGAUGGUUCAGGUCAAGAAACGUGCUUACUUCUUUUUGCUUUUUAGGGCUGCAUCCACAGCAUAUGGAAGUUUCCAGGCUAGGGGUUGAAAUGGAGCUGUAGCUGCCAGCCUACACCACAGACACAGCAAUACCAGAUCCGAGUCAUGCCUGUAACCUACACCAUAGCUUGGGGCAAUGCCGGACCUUUAACCCCUGAGCAAGGCCAAGGAAUCGAACUGGCAUCCUCAUGGGUACUAGUCUGGUUCAUUAUUGUGAGCCACAACAGGAACUCUAAGAAAUAUGUUUACUUUCAAAGCUCCCUGGAGAAGGGGGUGAGGAAACUGGCACUUGUUUCCUAGGCUGGGGAGACCAAUGUUGAAUCAUUUUGUUUAUUUUUUUAUUUCUAUUUUUUUUGUCUUUUUGCCAUUUCUUGGGCCGCUCCCACGGCACAUGGAGGUUCCCAGGCUAGGGGUCGAAUCAGAGCUGUAGCCACCGGCCUACGCCAGAGCCACAGCAACGCGGGAUCCGAGCCAAGUCUGCGACCCACACCACAGCUCACAGCAGUGCCGGAUCGUUAACCCACUGAGCAAGGGCAAGGAUCGAACCCGCAACCUCAUGGUUCCUAGUCGGAUUUGUUAACCACUGCGCCACAACGGGAACUCCAUUUUAUUUUUUUUAUUAAUAAGUUUAUACUAUUCCUUGGAAAUGUUGUUCAGCAAUGUAAAGUUCUCAACCCCUGAAAGUUCUUUUUUUAUGAGGAUAUGGAAGAAAACAAGGUAAGUGAAGAAAGGUAAGAUGUUAAAAGAAUUUGUAUGUUGACUUGGGAUGUCUUUGGGUUAAGAAAUACUUAGGAGAUUGACGUCAGAGGCAGAAAAAAGGAGGUGUAGUGUUGGAAUAAAAAGUAAUUCACAGAAGAGUAUUUCUGCACAUCAGGAAAUGCUUUUUGUAUGAUGCCUGAUAUUAAAUUAGGAUCUCUAUACCAGCAUUUUCCAGAUACCUUUGUGACUUCCCACAAGACCCUACUCUGUCUCUGGCCACUUUGUGUAAAACUGCCAGUGAUUUGUGGACAGAGUCUCCUCAGCUGAAAAGUUGGCUCUCCUGAAAUGUCACAGUCUCUGGGGCUGGCGAUGUGUAUUACUAAGAGGUCAGGUGACCUGUGCCCCCCAGCCUGGCAGCCAGGUGUGUGCCCCUGCAUCUACAACUCCGUCACAUGAAUCGACUCAGAGUGUGUACCCAGAUUUGGUACCUGCCUGCCUCAGCUCCACCUCACAGGCUGGGCUGGUGACUGACCAGCUGCUUGGGUUUCCCCAACUCUAACUGGAAAAGGGCUGCUUGCAGCUCAGCAUUAGCGAGAGGAUUCAGCAAGGUGACACACAUUGGUAAAGCUGCCAGCAUUUGUGCCUGUUUCUUCCAAGAAUCACUGAUGUUUUCUGUUAUCACCAUGACAUUUGUAAUUUACUGAAUGAGUGGAUCUUGAGGCUAUGUAUUAGACCAUUAGCAAUGUCAGUGAUAAAGUGUUAAUGGAAAUUUUGCAAACCAGGGUAUAUUUUGAAAAAGCUGUAUAGUAAGUAUUCAGAAAAACUUUUUCAGAAGGACUUCAGAAGAAGGCUCUGGACUUAAGACACAUCUAUCUCCUAUCAAGUAUGAGUAUAAUUGGGUUGUUUGACAUGCCCUCCUGCCUGCCUGAGUUUGAGUCCAUUUUCUCAUCUGUAAAAUGGGAUUACUGCAGCCUGCCUGUGGAGAAUGUGAAGAUUAAGUGAAAAAUACGGCACACAGGAGGCACUUGGUGAGCAUUAGAAGCAUUUCAUCAUGAAGAUAAAUUUAUCUCUGUUGACCAUUAACAGAUAUUCUCUCCAGUAUUUACAACACAAUU
rnacentral:lncRNA from 1 species